rnacentral:rRNA from 2 species
GGGUUGUGAGGUUAAGCGACUAAGCGUACACGGUGGAUGCCCUGGCAGUCAGAGGCGAUGAAGGACGUGCUAAUCUGCGAUAAGCGUCGGUAAGGUGAUAUGAACCGUUAUAACCGGCGAUUUCCGAAUGGGGAAACCCAGUGUGUUUCGACACACUAUCAUUAACUGAAUCCAUAGGUUAAUGAGGCGAACCGGGGGAACUGAAACAUCUAAGUACCCCGAGGAAAAGAAAUCAACCGAGAUUCUCCCAGUAGCGGCGAGCGAACGGGGAGCAGCCCAGAGCCUGAAUCAGUGUGUGUGUUAGUGGAAGCGUCUGGAAAGGCGCGCGAUACAGGGUGACAGCCCCGUACACAAAAAUGCACAUGCUGUGAGCUCGAUGAGUAGGGCGGGACACGUGGUAUCCUGUCUGAAUAUGGGGGGACCAUCCUCCAAGGCUAAAUACUCCUGACUGACCGAUAGUGAACCAGUACCGUGAGGGAAAGGCGAAAAGAACCCCGGCGAGGGGAGUGAAAAAGAACCUGAAACCGUGUACGUACAAGCAGUGGGAGCACGCUUAGGCGUGUGACUGCGUACCUUUUGUAUAAUGGGUCAGCGACUUAUAUUCUGUAGCAAGGUUAACCGAAUAGGGGAGCCGAAGGGAAACCGAGUCUUAACUGGGCGUUAAGUUGCAGGGUAUAGACCCGAAACCCGGUGAUCUAGCCAUGGGCAGGUUGAAGGUUGGGUAACACUAACUGGAGGACCGAACCGACUAAUGUUGAAAAAUUAGCGGAUGACUUGUGGCUGGGGGUGAAAGGCCAAUCAAACCGGGAGAUAGCUGGUUCUCCCCGAAAGCUAUUUAGGUAGCGCCUCGUGAAUUCAUCUCCGGGGGUAGAGCACUGUUUCGGCAAGGGGGUCAUCCCGACUUACCAACCCGAUGCAAACUGCGAAUACCGGAGAAUGUUAUCACGGGAGACACACGGCGGGUGCUAACGUCCGUCGUGAAGAGGGAAACAACCCAGACCGCCAGCUAAGGUCCCAAAGUCAUGGUUAAGUGGGAAACGAUGUGGGAAGGCCCAGACAGCCAGGAUGUUGGCUUAGAAGCAGCCAUCAUUUAAAGAAAGCGUAAUAGCUCACUGGUCGAGUCGGCCUGCGCGGAAGAUGUAACGGGGCUAAACCAUGCACCGAAGCUGCGGCAGCGACACUAUGUGUUGUUGGGUAGGGGAGCGUUCUGUAAGCCUGUGAAGGUGUGCUGUGAGGCAUGCUGGAGGUAUCAGAAGUGCGAAUGCUGACAUAAGUAACGAUAAAGCGGGUGAAAAGCCCGCUCGCCGGAAGACCAAGGGUUCCUGUCCAACGUUAAUCGGGGCAGGGUGAGUCGACCCCUAAGGCGAGGCCGAAAGGCGUAGUCGAUGGGAAACAGGUUAAUAUUCCUGUACUUGGUGUUACUGCGAAGGGGGGACGGAGAAGGCUAUGUUGGCCGGGCGACGGUUGUCCCGGUUUAAGCGUGUAGGCUGGUUUUCCAGGCAAAUCCGGAAAAUCAAGGCUGAGGCGUGAUGACGAGGCACUACGGUGCUGAAGCAACAAAUGCCCUGCUUCCAGGAAAAGCCUCUAAGCAUCAGGUAACAUCAAAUCGUACCCCAAACCGACACAGGUGGUCAGGUAGAGAAUACCAAGGCGCUUGAGAGAACUCGGGUGAAGGAACUAGGCAAAAUGGUGCCGUAACUUCGGGAGAAGGCACGCUGAUAUGUAGGUGAAGUCCCUCGCGGAUGGAGCUGAAAUCAGUCGAAGAUACCAGCUGGCUGCAACUGUUUAUUAAAAACACAGCACUGUGCAAACACGAAAGUGGACGUAUACGGUGUGACGCCUGCCCGGUGCCGGAAGGUUAAUUGAUGGGGUUAGCCGCAAGGCGAAGCUCUUGAUCGAAGCCCCGGUAAACGGCGGCCGUAACUAUAACGGUCCUAAGGUAGCGAAAUUCCUUGUCGGGUAAGUUCCGACCUGCACGAAUGGCGUAAUGAUGGCCAGGCUGUCUCCACCCGAGACUCAGUGAAAUUGAACUCGCUGUGAAGAUGCAGUGUACCCGCGGCAAGACGGAAAGACCCCGUGAACCUUUACUAUAGCUUGACACUGAACAUUGAGCCUUGAUGUGUAGGAUAGGUGGGAGGCUUUGAAGUGUGGACGCCAGUCUGCAUGGAGCCGACCUUGAAAUACCACCCUUUAAUGUUUGAUGUUCUAACGUUGACCCGUAAUCCGGGUUGCGGACAGUGUCUGGUGGGUAGUUUGACUGGGGCGGUCUCCUCCUAAAGAGUAACGGAGGAGCACGAAGGUUGGCUAAUCCUGGUCGGACAUCAGGAGGUUAGUGCAAUGGCAUAAGCCAGCUUGACUGCGAGCGUGACGGCGCGAGCAGGUGCGAAAGCAGGUCAUAGUGAUCCGGUGGUUCUGAAUGGAAGGGCCAUCGCUCAACGGAUAAAAGGUACUCCGGGGAUAACAGGCUGAUACCGCCCAAGAGUUCAUAUCGACGGCGGUGUUUGGCACCUCGAUGUCGGCUCAUCACAUCCUGGGGCUGAAGUAGGUCCCAAGGGUAUGGCUGUUCGCCAUUUAAAGUGGUACGCGAGCUGGGUUUAGAACGUCGUGAGACAGUUCGGUCCCUAUCUGCCGUGGGCGCUGGAGAACUGAGGGGGGCUGCUCCUAGUACGAGAGGACCGGAGUGGACGCAUCACUGGUGUUCGGGUUGUCAUGCCAAUGGCACUGCCCGGUAGCUAAAUGCGGAAGAGAUAAGUGCUGAAAGCAUCUAAGCACGAAACUUGCCCCGAGAUGAGUUCUCCCUGACUCCUUGAGAGUCCUGAAGGAACGUUGAAGACGACGACGUUGAUAGGCCGGGUGUGUAAGCGCAGCGAUGCGUUGAGCUAACCGGUACUAAUGAACCGUGAGGCUUAACCUUACAACGCCGAAGGUGUUU